rnacentral:sRNA from 1 species
CGAAGCGAGAGAACGUUGCGUCAGCAACGGCCCGCAGGGCGAGCCACGAAGUGGUGAGUCAUCCUCUAUCACCGACCA